AGCGAACGCUGGCGGUAGGCCUAACACAUGCAAGUCGAACGGCAGCACAGUAAGAGCUUGCUCUUACGGGUGGCGAGUGGCGGACGGGUGAGGAAUACAUCGGAAUCUACUUUUUCGUGGGGGAUUACGUAGGGAAACUUACGCUAAUACCGCAUAUGACCUACGGGUGAAAGCAGUGGAUCUUCGUACCUUGCGCGAUUGAAUGAGCCGAUGUCGGAUUAGCUAGUUGGCGGGGUAAAGGCCCACCAAGGCGACGAUCCGUAGCUGGUCUGAGAGGAUGAUCAGCCACACUGGAACUGAGACACGGUCCAGACUCCUACGGGAGGCAGCAGUGGGGAAUAUUGGACAAUGGGCGCAAGCCUGAUCCAGCCAUACCGCGUGGGUGAAGAAGGCCUUCGGGUUGUAAAGCCCUGUUGUUGGGAAAGAAAAGCAGUAGGUUAAUACCCCGCUGUUCUGACGGUACCCAAAGAAUAAGCACCGGCUAACUUCGUG
rnacentral:rRNA from 1 species